rnacentral:rRNA from 1 species
UACAGAGGUCUCAAGCGUUGUCCGGAUUCAUUGGGCGUAAAGGGCGCGUAGGCGGCGCGGUAAGUCGGGUGUGAAAUCUUGGAGCUUAACUCCGAAACUGCAUUCGAUACUGCCGUGCUUGAGGACUGGAGAGGAGACUGGAAUUUACGGUGUAGCGGUGAAAUGCGUAGAUAUCGUAAGGAAGACCAGUGGCGAAGGCGGGUCUCUGGACAGUUCCUGACGCUGAAGCACGAAGGCCAGGGGAGCAAACGGG